AGCUACACGGCAGUAACACCAGCCCGAACUCUCCCAGAAGGCGUCCUAAAAGCUGGAAUAACAAGAAGAAAAUAGGCUCGGAGUCACGAGCAGAUGGGAAGUGGAAGGUUUCAGAACCUCAACAGUCCAUCCUGUGCUCUGCAGAAACUUCAAAUUCUGGGUGGUAGGGAUAUAAUUCCCACGCGUGCAGAUCACACAGACCCUGGACACCAGGUGACCCUGGCGUUGGGAGUUAGCAAGGCGGCUGCCCUCCGCCCAGCAGGGGUCCAAUUUCCCUGUCCCCCCUGUUCUUCCUCGCCCUCUUCUGUCUGCAUAGCUGCUGACAUUCGCUUCUACUCUUGUUUUAAUGAAUUCCUUUCUCACUGUCA